AGAAAGUGUAAGAUGCAAGCAAUGUUGCAGUAGAGAUUUUCAUCAGAUUGGAGGUGAGGUUUAGUCUGCCUUAAUCUAAGAAAUGUUUUACAUGGAUGAUUUGCUAUAAAGAAUACAUCUAAAAACAUGCRGAUUUUAUAGAAAUUCUGCUUAUUCAUUCAGGAGCUAUUUUAUGAACCAAUCAUACAAUCUUUGCUUUGCAUUACAGUGUGAUAAAAGGAAAGUUACAUUUAUUUGAAGGAUGUUCUACUCAGGAUGCUGAAGAUUGUCUUCCAGGAAUCUACAGCUUUGCUCUUAUUACAUUGACGUGGCAGCAGUGCAAGGUCAAAGGAGAAAUACCCACUGGAAGGACACAUCAUACACUUACAGCACACUAUGACAAGCAAAGAUAAAAUGGAAGAUGCCACUUUACAUAGGAAUUCCUUCUGCUUGUGGACACAGACAUGUGGCAUUUGUUCUUCAUUGCCAUAAUGUAUUUCCACAAGUCUUUCUGAAGUCAGAAAUCAAUUGGAAUCGCAUACUCAUUAUAUUCUGGGACUCAGUUAGGAGUAUCUGCUGUCAAAGUUACAGAGUUUUGGUGCAGCUGCUGAAGAGAAGACUGGAAGCCUGUGGGCGAGCUCUCAAGCUGGAGGAGUAUAAUGAAGGCCACAAUGAACUGUUUGGACCAAGCCUCGAGAUGUUCAGGCAAGGUGUUAAUGGCGGUAACUGA
rnacentral:lncRNA from 1 species